rnacentral:rRNA from 1 species
GCACCCGCGGUAAUUCCAGCUCCAAUAGCGUAUAUUAAAGUUGUUGCAGUUAAAAAGCUCGUAGUUGGAUUUCUGGGAGGGUGCCGAUGUCCACUUAACGUGUGCGCAGCGGCGCCCUCUCAUCCUUCUGUUAGCGUCUCUUGGCAUUCAUUUGCUGGUGGCGGGCUCAGAUAUUUACCUUGAGAAAAUUAGAGUGUUUCAGGCAGGCUAGGCCGGAAUACAUUAGCAUGGAAUAAUGGAAUAGGACUACGGUCUCUUUGUUGGUUUGAGGGACUGCAGUAAUGAUUAAUAGGGAUAGUUGGGGGCAUUAGUACUUAACUGUCAGAGGUGGAAUUCUCAGAUUUGUUAAAGACUGACUUAUGCGAAAGCAUCUGCCAAGGAUGUUUUCAUUGAUCAAGAACGAAAGU